GGAGCGUAGAGCUCAGUGUUAGAGCAUUUGCUUAGCAUGCACGAGGUCCUGGGUUCAACCCCAGUACCUCCA
rnacentral:tRNA from 1 species